AUAGCUAGCAUUUUUGUUAACGAAAUAGCUUUUGAAAAUUUACAUAUACCCAUAUAAGCCCAAAAACCAUUUAUGGUUUAUACAUAUAACCAUAGAUAAGAGCUUUUCAAUCGGGAUUUUAAAAGGAGAAGUAAUAUUAAAUACAAUUGAUUACUUUUUAUAAGCGUAAAUUCAUUGUACUAUUUUAUAAAAUUUUUCAAACGAAAAAAGGAGAAGGCGAGAGAGAGAAUUGGGGAGGCAAUAAGUUUAGCGGCGACGACCUUCCCAGAACUUCCAGCUUCCACAUGUGCCUGUCAGAAAGGAAACCCAAUCACAUAAAUCAAAGAAAACAAUAAAAAAAAUGGGUAAAGAACUUUUUAAUGAUUUUAACUAUUAACCAUAAAAGCCUUUAAAUUCCAUUAAUAAUCGUAUUGAUGCGAUCCACGAACAUUCGAGCCCACCUCCAAAGCGGCGAAUGUCAGUACCAUCAAGAGCAGAGCCUUUUUUUCUGUUAAUAGAAAAGAGUAUAAUGAUUAUGAUUAUCAAUUCGGAUUCUCAACUCGUACCCAGAUAAUGGCUGCUUCUAUUUAGUGUAUUUAUUGAGUGCUAUUAGCCAGGAUGCAAUAACCCGAUUACGAACAUUCGAGCCCACCUCCAAAGCGACGAAUGUCAGUACCAUCAAGAGCAGAGCCUUUUUUUCUGUUUAUAGAAAAGAGUAUAAUGAUUAUGAUUAUCAAUUCGGAUUCUCAACUCGUACCCAGAUAAUGGCUGCUUCUAUUUAGUGUAUUUAUUGAGUGCUAUUAGCCAGGAUGCAAUAACCCGAUUCCAGUUCCAGUUCCAGAGGGAGUUGAAAUGAAUGUUUAACAAUUGUGUGUAACCAGCAAAGCUCCAGCAGCAGCUACCUUUCCUUUUCUGUGUCUUCUUUAUUCUGCGUUAUACCAAAAUCAAAAAACAACAAACCUGUGGAUGUGGAUAUGGAUUUACGGCUAUAUCCUG